UAAUUACUAUGUAAAGAGGAGUUGCGUCAACAACUCCCCUACAGCACCAUUUAAGACGGUGGCGACAUUAGUUAUAUAUAAAA
rnacentral:sRNA from 1 species